UUGCACAUUGGAUUCUUUGUGAUUGCCAGUUGGUAUUCUCCACUCCAACGAAUAUAUAGUGACAGCUAGCAUUGAGGGAAAUGAGGAGGUCACUCAUUACUGACCAACGGACUCUCUCUCGUUUACUCUCUCUUUCCAAAAAAUAAGCAAAAAAAAGAAAUAAAUAAGAGGACACAUCCCUCACUCCCACUACACACUCUGAGAAGGAAGAAAAAAAGAAAAAUUAAAUUAACAAAAAAGCUUUUCCUCUUCGUCUUCCAGAUCCACCCCUUCAUCCGCGCCUCCGCACAACACCAAUACCCACCGCCAUAAUCGCGACUCCUUCAACCUUUUCUCUCCCUCUGUUUCCGUUGAAAACCAUUCCACUUCCAUUCACCUCUCCACACUAUAAUCUGUACCUUAUUCUUCUUCACGGUGCCACCUCCACCAUUGUCACAUAUCCUCACCAAACCACCUCUCAUCUCCACCGCGGAGAAACCGUCACUGAAAGACCAUCCUCAUCCACAACCCAACUCGAACACCACGAACCACACAACCGCCACCUUUUCCGUUUCACUCCCACGACAACUUCCG
rnacentral:lncRNA from 1 species